GACGGCAAUCCAUGCACUCUAUACAGACCUGAGGGCACAAACACUUAUCACAGGGGCGCCUAAACAGCCUUUCACCCUUAGCAACGGCACUAGGCAGGGAUGCCCGUUGUCCCCUUUGCUCUUCGCCCUAACCCUAGAGCCACUAUUACAAGCUAUCAGGCAACAUCCACACAUUCAGGGCAUAGAGGUGAGCGGCACACCCUUCACAGUCUCGGCAUAUGCUGAUGAUGUUAUGCUAACAUUCCGGGAUCCGC